rnacentral:rRNA from 1 species
CCUACGGGCGGCAGCAGUGGGGAAUAUUGGACAAUGGGCGAUAGCCUGAUCCAGCCAUGCCGCGUGUGUGAAGAAGGCCUUCGGGUUGUAAAGCACUUUCAGUGGGGAAGAAAGCCUUGGGGCUAAUACCCUCGAGGAAGGACAUCACCCACAGAAGAAGCACCGGCUAACUCCGUGCCAGCAGCCGCGGUAAUACGGAGGGUGCGAGCGUUAAUCGGAAUUACUGGGCGUAAAGCGCGCGUAGGCGGUCUGAUAAGCCGGUUGUGAAAGCCCCGGGCUCAACCUGGGAACGGCAUCCGGAACUGUCAGGCUAGAGUGCAGGAGAGGAAGGUAGAAUUCCCGGUGUAGCGGUGAAAUGCGUAGAGAUCGGGAGGAAUACCAGUGGCGAAGGCGGCCUUCUGGACUGACACUGACGCUGAGGUGCGAAAGCGUGGGUAGCAAACAGGAUUAGAUACCCGGGUAGUC